rnacentral:misc_RNA from 1 species
GAUGAAGAACGUAGCGAAAUGCGAUAAGUAGUGUGAAUUGCAGAAUUCAGUGAAUCAUCGAAUCUUUGAACGCACAUUGCGCCCCUUGGUAUUCCAUGGGGCAUGCCUGUUCGAGCGUCAUUUGUACCUUCAAGCUCUGCUUGGUGUUGGGUGUUUGUCUCGCCUCUGCGUGUAGACUCGCCUCAAAACAAUUGGCAGCCGGCGUAUUGAUUUCGGAGCGCAGUACAUCUCGCGCUUUGCACUCAUAACGACGACGUCCAAAAGUACAUUUUUACACUCUUGACCUCGGAUCAGGUAGGGAUACACGCUGAACUUAAGCAUAUCAAUAAGCGGAGGA